AUUGAACGCUGGCGGCAGGCUUAACACAUGCAAGUCGAGCGGAGAUGAGGUGCUUGCACCUUAUCUUAGCGGCGGACGGGUGAGUAAUGCUUAGGAAUCUGCCUACUAGUGGGGGACAACAUUUCGAAAGGGAUGCUAAUACCGCAUACGCCCUAAGGGGGAAAGCAGGGGAUCUUCGGACCUUGCGCUAAUAGAUGAGCCUAAGUCGGAUUAGCUAGUUGGUGGGGUAAAGGCCUACCAAGGCGACGAUCUGUAGCGGGUCUGAGAGGAUGAUCCGCCACACUGGGACUGAGACACGGCCCAGACUCCUACGGGAGGCAGCAGUGGGGAAUAUUGGACAAUGGGGGGAACCCUGAUCCAGCCAUGCCGCGUGUGUGAAGAAGGCCUUUUGGUUGUAAAGCACUUUAAGCGAGGAGGAGGCUACCGAGAUUAAUACUCUUGGAUAGUGGACGUUACUCGCAGAAUAAGCACCGGCUAACUCUGUGCCAGCAGCCGCCGCAGUAA
rnacentral:rRNA from 1 species